rnacentral:rRNA from 1 species
UCAGCGGCAGGUGCGAUCGCGCGAGCUUUCACGAGCGAGCGCGGUCACGAAGCCCUGACGAGUAGGAGGGUCGCGGCGGUGAGCGCAGAAGGGCUGGCCGCGAGGCCGUCUGGAGCCGCCGUCGGUGCAGAUCUUGGUGGUAGUAGCAAAUACUCCAGCGAGGCCCUGGAGGACUGACGUGGAGAAGGGUUUCGUGUGAACAGCCGUUGCACACGAGUCAGUCGAUCCUAAGCCCUAGGCGAAAGCCGAUGUCGAUGCGGUGUAGUUUUUACGAUAAACAAUGUUUGUAUACACACACACACGCACACGAAAUUCGACUUCGACUACGACUAACUACUGCGACGAUUACGACGACGAAACAAACGUUAAUUCGUCGUCGUUUAACGUCUAGUUUAGUCUAGUCUAGUCUCGUCGAAUCAUCGUCGUCGUCGUGUAUGUAACACAGAUAACGAWAGAGCACACACCCGUCGGGCGAAAGGGAAUCCGGUUCCUAUUCCGGAACCUGGC